CCUACGGGGGGCAGCAGUGGGGAAUAUUGGACAAUGGGGGGAACCCUGAUCCAGCGACGCCGCGUGAGUGAAGAAGUAUUUCGGUAUGUAAAGCUCUAUCAGCAGGGAAGAAAGAAAUGACGGUACCUGACUAAGAAGCCCCGGCUAACUACGUGCCAGCAGCCGCGGUAAUACGUAGGGGGCAAGCGUUAUCCGGAUUUACUGGGUGUAAAGGGGGCGUAGACGGCGAUGCAAGUCUGAAGUGAAAGGCGGGGGCCCAACCCCUGGACUGCUUUGGAAACUGUAUGGCUGGAGUGCAGGAGAGGUAAGUGGAAUUCCUAGUGUAGCGGUGAAAUGCGUAGAUAUUAGGAGGAACACCAGUGGCGAAGGCGGCUUACUGGACUGUAACUGACGUUGAGGCUCGAAAGCGUGGGGAGCAAACAGGAUUAGAUACCCUAGUAGUC
rnacentral:rRNA from 1 species